rnacentral:rRNA from 1 species
UACGUAGGGGCUAGCGUUGUCCGGAAUCAUUGGGCGUAAAGCGCGUGUAGGCGGUCCGGUAAGUCCGCUGUGAAAGUCGGGGGCUCAACCCUCGAAUGCCGGUGGAUACUGUCGGGCUAGAGUGCGGAAGAGGCGAGUGGAAUUCCUGGUGUAGCAGUGAAAUGACGUAGAUAUCAGGAGGAACACCGAUGGCGAAGGCAGGUCUCUGGGCUGACACUGACGCUCAUGCACGGAAAGCGUGGGGAGCAAACAGG